CCGAGCCUGCAAAAAUUUGUGAGUCCGUGCAAUAAUUUUGAGGCAUCAGAGAAAGUAGUGCAGAGACAUGUGCGGCCUGCAAAAGCAAAAAUAAUGACAAUAUAACAUUUAUUGCAAAGAUAUGAUGAUGAAAAUUGAUCAUUUUAUUAAUGCCCAGCAGGGCGUGAGGUAGGAAAAUAUGUGAGAUGGUGAUUUUAUAAGAAGCCCCCCCUCCAUUGGGCCUUUGUAGAAGGUUCACAUUAAACUAAAACACACACACUCUCUCUCUCAUCAGUAAAUAGCAAUUUUCUUACCGUCGAGUUCUCUCUCCGACGAUGGAAGAAGACGAUGAUGAAGACGUUACUACUACAAUAUCAGAAGCUUAGAUUGGAUUGGGAGGCAUUGGAAAUUUAGAUUUUCGAUGUCUCCACUCCGACCUCGACCUCGUAGGAGUCGUUCUCAUUCGCAGCACAGCGAGGAAGAGGUUCCCACGGCAUCUUUUCCAGCGACCUCUUUCUUUGGGGUAGAGUUUCCUGCGGGCAGCUUUCCUCCUCAUGCCAAUACUGGUUGUAGCCGGGAGGUCUUCUCUUCAGCUUCCAUUAGGCAGGCCGUUAGUCCAUUCCCUCAGUUUGACAGAGAUCGCUCCGACGAAUCCUGUCGUUUGAUACGGGAAGGAGGGCGUCAUUGCUUACGCCAGCUUAUUACAGAUGCCUCCUUUACUGCGGAUUCUACCUCUACUCGGGCUUUGAAGAAGCCCAUUCCUGUUCGGAGAUCACGUUGAGGAUCCUGCUACGUUGACACUUACCGAGGAACACUGGCUGACUCUCGACGAAGGAGCUCUCUUGUACAUCCCCUCCAUUCCGCGUCAAUAUUCUUUCACCCAUUUGAAGGGACAAGCAGUGGGGCGACAGAUGUCCUGUCACCUUACUAAUGAUGCUGAGCGAGUCCAGUGUGGAUAUGCCUCUCAUCACAAGACUCCUGGUUCUAGCGGGUACCAUCAUAUUCGUGGUCUUCGACCAGGGAUCAUGGGCCUUGACACUGCACCCCCAGGCGAGGUAUCAACAGCUGCUCCUACCGUGGGUAAUCCUACCGUGGGUAAUCGUCUGGCUCUUCUUGGGAGAAGGUUACCUCCACCAGAUUAUAGAUGCUAUGGUUGGGCUUCCUCACUAGCCAAGGGA